rnacentral:lncRNA from 1 species
GUCCGUUCGAUUACUUGUUGCGUUAAGGAUCAUCACUCCGACUGUUUCUUCCUCGCCAUUGCUCUCCCCAUUGAUGCCUUGGGAAGUAACCGAAGCCAUUGAUGGUACUUGAAGCCCCGCCAGCCAUUGACGUCUCUCUGGCAGACUCUUUUUCUCCCUCCUGCUCUCUAUAAAAGGGGACAGCAGAGCUCUCUCUCUUCUCCCUCCUACCCGAACUCGUCUCUCUCUCUAGCUCUCCUCGCUCAUCGCUAGUGCCGCUCGUCGCCAGAGUUGCCGUUCGUCGCCGGAGUUCAGAGCCUGCAGUUCGUCGCCGGAGCCACGCACUCGCCAUCCGCCGUCCGUAGUCGAGCCCUUGCUUCUCUUCACCCGGCCGAACCCCGUCGAACUCUUCCCGUCGCACGUGCGAACCUAAGGUUGAUGACGACCCGAAUUAUUUUGUAUAUUUUAUAAAAUACUUUUUGAUUCGAUUCAUGAAUUGUAUAUUUAGUUUGUUGUAUGAACACGUGCGAUUCACAAUUUAUGUGUAUGAGCAUUAUGGAAUUGUUUGGUAUAUUCAUGCGAUUAUUAGUACACUGUUAUAUUUCAUGUUAGUCGUGGCGUUGAUUUUUGGAUUAGAGAAAUAUGACGUAGAUUUAAUAGUCACACGUUGGUGGUAAAACAAUAGAUAGGAAUUUUUGUAGUUAAAUUUAGUUACCACGAACUUUAGAAAUUAUUUGGAGAAUUAUAGUCAUAGGUGCAUUUUAAUGGAUUUAGAAAAUGGUACAUAACUCAUGUCAUAUGAAUAAUAUAGGAUUUCUAGAUGAUUUAUCUAAUUAUUUUAUUAACAUUUGUUUUUUUAUAAAGAAAGGAGAAAAUAUCAUUAGUAGGAUGGAAAAUAGAUUUUUGCUAGUCAAAUAAACAUGUUCGCAAAUUGAGCACUUAGAUUUUAGAGUAAGCAAAAUAAUAGUUUAUGUCAAAAUAACCUCACUUGUGUUAUAAAAAGUCCAAUUAGCAAUUUAUGUAGAUUUUUAGAAUAUUAAUAUUAAUAGAUUCAUUUUUAGCCAUACUCAAUUUGAGUUAGAAAUAAAAAGGAUAAAAGCUAUUAAUUUAUUUAUUAGUAUUAAAGACGAUAAUUAUUUUCAUUGAUGAUGUUAAAAUUUAUUAAUAUUAGUUAAAAUUAUAUUUAUUGCACCCACCCAUAAAUUCACCAUUUAUGACUCACAAUAAUAGCCUCAUAAUGGAUCCCUAGCCAUUCACCUCGGCAGUGUUUAAGGGUCCGAUCAACCCGGGCUAGAUGGGAUACAUGGCUUGUGGGUAAAGUUGUACCGACUCUGCAGAGUGUAAAACUGACAUAUCAGUCGUGCUCCCGGUUAUGAGCGACCUGGACUCCUCACAUGAUAAUUGAACUUGAAGAUGGAAUUAAAUUGAGAUCCGAUGAUCUGCCAAUAAUUUGCUUAAGUGGUUUCACUUAAGUGUUUUUGUUAUAUUCAUAUUCCUUUGUUUAAAUGGGAUAUUUGGGAUUCACACUUAUUAGUAAGACAGAUAUUGUUAAUAAAAUAUUGACCAACUAAAAUGCUUACUGCUCAACCCUAGCCUCACCUUGUUAUACCUGUAUUAAUUUUCCCCCCACUUGCUGAGCCCCGACCAUAAGUGAGCUCACUCUUGCUAAUAUUUUGAUCAGAGGGUGAUGCUGGAGACUUUGAUGGAGAUUUUGAUGAUGAUGAUGAAUUCUAAGUCUAACGAUGCGGCGGUCAUCUUCCUGUGGGAGAUUGCCCCUGUUAUUUAUUUCCGCUUUACUUUUAUGUGAUACUUGUUCAAGAUACAAUGUUUUAGAUAAUGUAAUAAAGUAUUAUACU